rnacentral:rRNA from 1 species
AAUAGACUAUUCGCUGAGGAAUUCUAGUCUUCGGAUUAGAGCCGGGUUGGGUUAAAGGAAGCUUCUAAUCAGAAUGUCUACAUUUUAAGAUUAGAUCUCAAAUCAGGUAGGACUACCCGCUGAACUUAAGCAUAUCAAUAAGCGGAGGAAAAGAAACUAACAAGGAUUCCCCUAGUAGCGGCGAGCGAAGCGGGAAGAGCUCAAAUUUAUAAUCUGGCACCUUCGGUGUCCGAGUUGUAAUCUCUAGAAAUGUUUUCCGCGUUGGACCGCACACAAGUCUGUUGGAAUACAGCGGCAUAGUGGUGAGACCCCCGUAUAUGGUGCGGACGCCCAGCGCUUUGUGAUACAUUUUCGAAGAGUCGAGUUGUUUGGGAAUGCAGCUCAAAUUGGGUGGUAAAUUCCAUCUAAAGCUAAAUAUUGGCGAGAGACCGAUAGCGAACAAGUACCGUGAGGGAAAGAUGAAAAGCACUUUGGAAAGAGAGUUAACAGUACGUGAAAUUGUUGGAAGGGAAACGCUUGAAGUCAGACUUGCUUGCCGAGCAAUCGGUUUGCAGGCCAGCAUCAGUUUUCCGGGAUGGAUAAUGGUAGAGAGAAGGUAGCAGUUUCGGCUGUGUUAUAGCUCUCUGCUGGAUACAUCUUGGGGGACUGAGGAACGCAGUGUGCCUUUGGCGGGGGUUUCGACCUCUUCACACUUAGGAUGCUGGUGGAAUGGCUUUAAACGACCCGUCUUGAAACACGGACCAAGGAGUCUAACAUGCUUGCGAGUAUUUGGGUGUCAAACCCGGAUGCGUAAUGAAAGUGAAUGGAGGUGGGAACCGCAAGG